rnacentral:rRNA from 1 species
ACUUUAACACUGAGGCGUGAUGACGAGGCACUACGGUGCUGAAGCAACAAAUGCCCUGCUUCCAGGAAAAGCCUCUAAGCAUCAGGUAACAUCAAAUCGUACCCCAAACCGACACAGGUGGUCAGGUAGAGAAUACCAAGGCGCUUGAGAGAACUCGGGUGAAGGAACUAGGCAAAAUGGUGCCGUAACUUCGGGAGAAGGCACGCUGACACGUAGGUGAAGUGAUUUACUCAUGGAGCUGAAGUCAGUCGAAGAUACCAGCUGGCUGCAACUGUUUAUUAAAAACACAGCACUGUGCAAACACGAAAGUGGACGUAUACGGUGUGACGCCUGCCCGGUGCCGGAAGGUUAAUUGAUGGGGUCAGCGCAAGCGAAGCUCCUGAUCGAAGCCCCGGUAAACGGCGGCCGUAACUAUAACGGUCCUAAGGUAGCGAAAUUCCUUGUCGGGUAAGUUCCGACCUGCACGAAUGGCGUAAUGAUGGCCAGGCUGUCUCCACCCGAGACUCAGUGAAAUUGAACUCGCUGUGAAGAUGCAGUGUACCCGCGGCAAGACGGAAAGACCCCGUGAACCUUUACUAUAGCUUGACACUGAACAUUGAGCCUUGAUGUGUAGGAUAGGUGGGAGGCUUUGAAGUGUGGACGCCAGUCUGCAUGGAGCCGGCCUUGAAAUACCACCCUUUAAUGUUUGAUGUUCUAACGUGGACCCGUGAUCCGGGUUGCGGACAGUGUCUGGUGGGUAGUUUGACUGGGGCGGUCUCCUCCUAAAGAGUAACGGAGGAGCACGAAGGUUGGCUAAUCCUGGUCGGACAUCAGGAGGUUAGUGCAAUGGCAUAAGCCAGCUUGACUGCGAGCGUGACGGCGCGAGCAGGUGCGAAAGCAGGUCAUAGUGAUCCGGUGGUUCUGAAUGGAAGGGCCAUCGCUCAACGGAUAAAAGGUACUCCGGGGAUAACAGGCUGAUACCGCCCAAGAGUUCAUAUCGACGGCGGUGUUUGGCACCUCGAUGUCGGCUCAUCACAUCCUGGGGCUGAAGUAGGUCCCAAGGGUAUGGCUGUUCGCCAUUUAAAGUGGUACGCGAGCUGGGUUUAGAACGUCGUGAGACAGUUCGGUCCCUAUCUGCCGUGGGCGCUGGAGAACUGAGGGGGGCUGCUCCUAGUACGAGAGGACCGGAGUGGACGCAUCACUGGUGUUCGGGUUGUCAUGCCAAUGGCACUGCCCGGUAGCUAAAUGCGGAAGAGAUAAGUGCUGAAAGCAUCUAAGCACGAAACUUGCCCCGAGAUGAGUUCUCCCUGAGACUUUAGGUCUCCUGAAGGAACGUUGAAGACGACGACGUUGAUAGGCCGGGUGUGUAAGCGCAGCGAUGCGUUGAGCUAACCGGUACUAAUGAACCGUGAGGCUUAACCUUACA